CUUUUAUUAUAUUUACAUUCAAAGCUUCAUCCCUAGAGACAUCACUUUAUAUAAUGACCAAACUAUUCAUUACAUCAUUAGUAAAUACAAUUAUCAUUCCAGACUUUGUUUCAGUUAAGCAGCUUAUAAGAAGCAGAAGUCUUAAUUGCCGCUAGUCAACGGUCUUUUAUUCCUCACGUGCCUAAUACUAACAUCGUAAACUGUCAUGGGGGGAUUCAACCAUAGUCUGCUGGGCUGUUUCGACAACUGUGGAAUCUGUUUACUAGGCUACUGUUGCCCAUUUUACGUGCAUGGAAGAAACGCAGAAUCUGUUGGCGAGAACUGCUGCAUUUGUGCCCUCAUUCUGUGCUUCCAGCCUUGCGGCUUAUUAUCUAUUGCGUACAUCCGCAGCUUAGUCAGACACUCUAGAAACAUCGAUGGAAAUAUUCUGUGUGAUCUGAUUUUAUCUCUUAUAUGUCCUUUUUGUGUGAUUAUCCAAUCGGCGAAUGAACUCAAGGACUCAAAGCAUAGCAAUCGUAGCUCACCAUCCUUACAAAAGCAACAAAGCUCACAUCAACGUCAGUCUCCUGUCUUGUCUCCACAAGCAAUUAUUGAACAGCCCUUAAGAGUAGCGUCAAAUUAGAAUUCACAUAAUAUUGUGGCAUCCAGAGGGAGAAGUUUCGUCAAAACUGACAAACAAAUAAAAUUUGUGAAAAUAAGAUCGAAAAAAACAACAACAUGAUAAGCAAGAACAAUUCAUGGAUCUUUAGCUCAGAUAAGUGUCAUCGUGAAGUGUGAUUCUUCAACCUGAACAUCACCAGUCAACCCAGUACUCGCCCUCUACCACAUCUACCAUUGUGUUCCACUUCACUUUGACUGCUUUGGUCUGAAUUUUUAUACAAAUCUUUCGGUGUCAUUAGACAUAAAGCGAAGGUUGCAAAAUAAAAACAAAAUGUAUAUAAACUUUAAAA